GACGAACGCUGGCGGCGUGCUUAACACAUGCAAGUCGAACGGAAAGGCUCCAGCUUGCUGGAGUACUCGAGUGGCGAACGGGUGAGUAACACGUGGGUAAUCUGCCCUGCACUCUGGGAUAAGCCUGGGAAACUGGGUCUAAUACUGGAUAUGACCUUUCUCCUUAUGGGGUUUGGUGGAAAGUUUUUCGGUGUAGGAUGAGCCCGCGGCCUAUCAGCUUGUUGGUGGGGUGAUGGCCUACCAAGGCGACGACUGGUAGCCGGCCUGAGAGGGUGAUCGGCCACAUUGGGACUGAGAUACGGCCCAGACUCCUACGGGAGGCAGCAGUGGGGAAUAUUGCACAAUGGGCGGAAGCCUGAUGCAGCGACGCCGCGUGAGGGAUGACGGCCUUCGGGUUGUAAACCUCUUUCAGCAGGGACGAAGCGUAAGUGACGGUACCUGCAGAAGAAGCACCGGCUAACUACGUG
rnacentral:rRNA from 1 species